GUAGGGUGCGAGCGUUAAUCGGAAUUACUGGGCGUAAAGCGUGCGCAGGCGGUUUUGUAAGACAGGCGUGAAAUCCCCGGGCUUAACCUGGGAAUUGCGCUUGUGACUGCAAGGCUAGAGUGCGUCAGAGGGGGGUAGAAUUCCACGUGUAGCAGUGAAAUGCGUAGAGAUGUGGAGGAAUACCGAUGGCGAAGGCAGCCCCCUGGGACGUGACUGACGCUCAUGCACGAAAGCGUGGGGGAGCAAACAGGAUUAGAUACCCUGGUAGUCCACGCCCUAAACGAUGUCAACUAGUUGUUGGGGAUUCAUUUUCUCAGUAACGUAGCUAACGCGUGAAGUUGACCGCCUGGGGAUACGGUCGCAAGAUUA
rnacentral:rRNA from 1 species